rnacentral:rRNA from 1 species
UACAGAGGCCUCGAGCGUUAGGCGGAAUCACUGGGCUUAAAGCGUGUGUAGGCGGAUCGUUAAGUACCUUGUGAAAUCCCACGGCUUAACCGUGGAACUGCUUGGUAUACUGGCGGUCUUGAGCCAGCUAGGGGCUACCGGAACAAAUGGUGGAGCGGUGAAAUGCGUAGAUAUCAUUUGGAACGCCAAAGGUGAAAACAGGUAGCUGGGGCUGUGCUGACGCUGAGACACGAAAGCCAGGGGAGCAAACGGG